rnacentral:tRNA from 1 species
GCGGCCGUAGUCUAGUUUGGUUAGGACAUCAGCCUGCCACGCUGAUGAGCCGGGUUCAAAUCCCGGCGGCCGCACCA